UACGUAGGGAGCAAGCGUUGUCCGGAAUCAUUGGGCGUAAAGCGCGCGUAGGUGGCCACAUAAGUCCGUUGUGAAAGUCAAAGGCUCAACCUUUGAAAGCCGAUGGAUACUGUGUGGCUAGAGUACGGAAGAGGCGAGUGGAAUUCCUGGUGUAGCGGUGGAAUGCGCAGAUAUCAGGAGGAACACCAAUAGCGAAGGCAGCUCGCUGGGACGUUACUGACGCUGAGGCGCGAAAGCGUGGGGAGCGAACAGG
rnacentral:rRNA from 1 species